UAACAAGGAUUCCCCUAGUAACUGCGAGUGAAGCGGGAUAAGCUCAAAUUUAAAAUCUGGCAGUCUUCUGGCUGUCCGAGUUGUAAUCUGGAGAAGCGUUUUCUGUGUUAGACCGUGUACAAGUCUCCUGGAACGGAGCGUCAUAGAGGGUGAGAAUCCCGUCCAUGACACGGACAACUAAUACUUUGUGAUACGCUCUCGAAGAGUCGAGUUGUUUGGGAAUGCAGCUCAAAAUGGGUGGUAAAUUCCAUCUAAAGCUAAAUACAGGCGAGAGACCGAUAGCGAACAAGUACCGUGAGGGAAAGAUGAAAAGCACUUUGGAAAGAGAGUUAAACAGUACGUGAAAUUGUUGAAAGGGAAACGCUUGAAGUCAGUCGCGUUGUCCAGAACUCAGCCUUGCUCCUUGCUUGGUGUACUUUCUGAAUUCAACGGGUCAACAUCAAUUUUGGUUCAUGGAGAAAGGUGGGGGGAAUGUAGCGUUGCUUCGGCAGCGUGUUAUAGCCUCUCACUGUAUACAUGGGCUGGGAUUGAGGAACGCAGCACGCCCUUGUGGCCGGGGGCUCGCCCCACGUACCGUGCUUCGGAUGUUGGCAGAAUGGCUUUAAGCGACCCGUCUUGAAACACGGACCAAGGAGUCUAACAUGCUUGCGAGUGUUCGGGUGGAAAACCCUUGUGCGUAAUGAAAGUGAAAGUUGGGAACCUCCGCAAGGGGGUGCACCGACGCCCGGCCCUGACGUUCUCUGACGGUGCUGCGGUAGAGCAGGUAUGCUAGGACCCGAAAGAUGGUGAACUAUGCCUGAAUAGGGCGAAGCCAGAGGAAACUCUGGUGGAGGCUCGUAGCGAUUCUGACGUGCAAAUCGAUCGUCAAAUUUGGG
rnacentral:rRNA from 1 species